UCACCUAUUGCAUAGUAAAAUGAACUUUUUAAGGGGCGAGAUAGAUAAGAAAAAAUCAUAGCACUGCCAUCCUCACUCAUUCAAGCACCAAAGCAAGUGUUAAUACCUAAAGAAUAGUUUCGAAAUUAAAGAAUCCAUACAUAUUCCAUUCGAACACCAAAGGAUUAAUACCGAAACAGCCCCAAUUCAAAAAUAUACAUGAACGAUUAACCACUGAUGAUAACUAAAUACACCCAGCAGUUCUCUUUAAGGAGGAAAAUUUAAAAUCGCGAGUGUACUGAUCUAGACUCGGGAUUUUAAUCCCAAAAAAAUCCAACAAUCCAUUUAUCUGGAAACCAAGUAGACCUACUGUUUUGUUGCCUUUGAUCAAUCUACAGCCUCACGCAUAUAAUCUUAAUUCAAGUACUUCAAUUUCUAAAGAUUCAGAUAACAAGACCUCCAAAUCAGGGGUGCAUCCACCUGGGUAUUUCACCUAUUACACUUGAGGGGAGACUAGUUUUAAGGGCAAGGAGAAAACCAUGAACAACCACAUCAAAAUCACUGUUGCUACCAUCAAGAAACAACAAUUUUGGAACAAAUAAAUUUUAAGGAGUUGAGUUGAAGUUAAACCAUUCAAUGCAAUCCGAUCGAGUGAGAUUUCAACUUAUAAAGCCCGUUUUUAAACUAAUAAAAUCCGAUACUACCUUCCAAGCUCAGUGGUGAAGAUGUCGAGUAGAAAUCACUGCAACACAAGGUAAAUUGGUGCCAAAGGGGUGAUGAAUUGUCUCCCUUUCGGCCUCUCCUUCAGGCCCAAUUUUUGUGUAAUACCGAAGGAAGAAACCCUUGAGAAAAAUUAGACAAAUCCAAUAUUUUAUAUUUAUUACCUUUACUUUUGACGAACCAGCUAAAAUAAUUAUUAAGCCCUGUUUGGUGGCCUUAAAAAUUUUAAAAAUAGUUUUGUAUAUGGUAUUUUUUGAAAAAUAUGUGAAUGAAAAUGAUGAAAAUUUUGUCGACUGGUGGUUGAUAAUAAUUUUAAAGCAAAAUAAAUUAAAGGUUGUCAAAUAAGGGCUAAAUAUUUAGAAAAUUUAAUCACUUCAAAAAAUUAAAAUUUUAUUUUGCUCAUGUUUGAUAACAAUUUUUCACCCCAAAAAAUCAAUUUUUGAUCGUUAUUUCAGUUGUCAUUUUUCACUUCUUCACUCACAGGUGGAACCUACUUUUCUCUCUAACAAUUAAAAAAUCAAUUCUCAUAAUCACUACCAAACAUUCCCUUUAAUCUUGGUUCUUUUACGUUUCUGGAAAUGUUCCCAAAAUUACGUUAUUUUAGAUGAUUUAUUUUCUUCUUUAUCGCAACCUAACAUAAAGGAAGAGCGAUUCGAUCAUUGAAGUACUGCGGGAAAAUGAUAUUUAAUAAAAUGAUUCAAAUUGUCGCCUCAUAUACAGAUGCUUGAGAAUAUUUACACUUCUUAAUAGGAAUAUAGCACUUCGAUUGUGACAUGACCGAAAAUAUGCAAAAACAAUGAACACUUGCACUCAAGUAUGUGAAAUUGUAAUGGAGAAAAAAUGGGUCUCAAAGAUCAAUGUAAAUGGGAAACCCUGUGAAUGCAAAAGCAUUCAAAUAAUUUAAGAUCUUUGCUGUAACAAAUAUAAGUUUCACAAUCAUUACAAAGAGAAAAAUGUGCUAGAACAAGCCAGCUGAUGCUGCUAUUCUUCAAUACAUUACAGCAUUCGACGGGCCAAUGACUCGAUCUACAGUGAAUGCUCAUCGUCUUCCAGUGCAUUAUAAAUCAUCCUACACCGAAGAAAAUGGUUAUUGAGACAGUUCGAAAACAGAGGUUAACUCUAAUUGUUGUAAUCGAAGAGAUUGCAGCUAUUCACUCACCAAAACAAGGACAUGAAGAGAAGAAGUAUCACGUAGCCCAGUUUGAAAAGGCGCUGCUUCUUUUCCCAAUUGAGCAAGUUGAAUAUCUCGGUCACAUCUACAAGGUGCUGUCUUCGCAUAUACCUGAUUCAAAGAGAGUGGCUAGAUUUGUUAUCUAGAACUGUCAUAAAAAAAUAAAAAAGAGCUUAUCUAACUAACCAAUGAACAAAUGGCAAAGCCAAAAUUUUUCGCACUAAAGCAACAUUUUUCUCAUUUGCUGCAACAGUAUGUUAGCAAUUAUCAAUAUCCUAUAUGUUUUAGCACAGUUCCACGCACAAAGAACGAACUGAUGAUAUAACUGUGUAAACAGAAGAAAAUCCAAAAAUAUUGGACAUAUUGAAAAUUAGCACUUUAAAAUUCUACCAGGUGAAUAUGUUAAUGUAAUUAAAAGACUCAAAAAUGCAUAACUGUGCACAGUUGUUCCAAGAAUAUCGCAAUCUACUGACAAAUAAUCUCCCAAUCUAUUUAUAAAUUUACUAAAUUUGCCAAUCACUCGAACAUUGAUUGCAAAAAAGUUAUGGUGAAAUUAUAACUACAAUCCAAUUCAACUCUAUAAAGCACUAACAUUCAGAUCAAUCCUGAUAUAACAUCAACGCCAACUAGCAUAAGCCAUAGAUUAUCUAUACUACCAGUAUAGCUGAUUGGGUGUCCUUGACUGACUUUCAAGAUCAAACAUCAUCUUUCCCCCCAUUUUAUUAUAUUUUCGUUCUAUCUACUCUAUAAUCCUGUUCCACUUGUAGAUUAUAAACCAACAAUCGACUUGUACCAUGAACCAAUAGCCAUAUGCAAGCAGCAGGUUAGAUGUUUUAUAGAAUCUUACAAGGCAUUAAUAUAACCAUGGCCAAUGGGAUACCUAAACUGCUCAAGACUGUUCUGUAACUUCCACUAGUGCUCCAAAGUUAAACUGUCACACUUCAACAGUAAUGUUGCAAGUAUAAUUACUCCUGGGUCCAGACUAUAUCGUGUGAAAAAUUGUCUGGGGGAAUAUCUUGGAUCAGUAUAAAUAAAAUGCAGAAUGUGUCAACAUCGUGGUGUCAAAUAGCCCCAUUGAACUUACCUCCGAUUUGAUUUGCAACUCAACUAAUUUUCCAAUCAUUGCGAUUCACACCAGUUCGGACGAAUUAAGAUAAAAAAGGGUUCUCCUAAUAUAUAUCUAAAUUGCAACAAAUCCUUUUAGCACAUGAACCAAACCCAAUUUUACGAGUCGUCAAAUCCGUCUAUUUUCUUACCUGCUCUAGAACUUUCAUACUCAGACCAAAAAUCAACAAUUAUGUGGGCAAAAAAAAUUCUGACUCAUUUAUAAAUAGAUCGUGCCAUAGGUAUGUCACUGUAUAAGAAAGAUAAAGCAUAUCCUAUUAGAUGAUAGCUAUUGACAGAAAGCACGAAGUGGAUGCUCUGCGAUAUCAUGAAUUUCACACUAAACGUGGUUAGACUGAUGACAGUGUGUACUUAAUCAGUCAGAUUCAACAAACACGGUAAUGCUGGUACAAAAUCCAGAAAACAACAUUAAUUAGUAAAAUACAUUUGAAGACUGUCUUGUUUCAAAAUCUGCUAUCUGUUUCAACUAUUUUGAUUUCAAGUACAGUGUAGAAAUAGAGGAAAAACGGCAAAAUUCUUGAGUUGGGAAGACCAACUUAAGAGUUGGUUAACAGAGGCUCAACAUAUCAUUCAUAUAUAUCAUAUGUGGUGCAGCUAAUCCACACUCGCUAUCAAAAAGCAAGUGCAACGGAGUCGAGGAUCAUUUUGGAAAUGACGCCUCAACAUGUGUCUUCCCAACAGAAAAAAUGAAGAGGGUUUUGUGGAAGUCCCAUUUUUUGUGAGGGUAGGGGUCGCAGAAAUUGAAAAUCAAAUGCCACAAUAGUUGGAAAAUUAACACAAUAAAGAAUUUUGUCACCAAAUAGUAAUUUACCAUGAAAUGUACAAUCCUCUGAUGGCAUUCACCAUGAUGUAUUGUAUCUUUAAGCUGCAACAUAGAAAAAAACCAUUAGAGAGGAUUCAUUUCACUUCUCAAACUGAACUUCAACAAUAAGCCAACAUUUGAUCACCUAUUGCAUAGUAAAAUGAACUUUUUAAGGGGUGAGAUAGAUAAGAAAAAACCAUAGCACUGCCAUCCUCACUCAUUCAAGCACCAAAGCAAGUGUUAAUACCUAAAGAAUAGUUUCGAAAUUAAAGAAUCCAUACAUAUUCCAUUCGAACACCAAAGGAUUAAUACCGAAACAGCCCCAAUUCAAAAAUAUACAUGAACGAUUAACCACUGAUGAUAACUAAAUACACCCAGCAGUUCUCUUUAAGGAGGAAAAUUUAAAAUCGCGAGUGUACUGAUCUAGACUCAGGAUUUUAAUCCCAAAAAAAUCCAACAAUCCAUUUAUCUGGAAACCAAGUAGACCUACUGUUUUGUUGCCUUUGAUCAAUCUAGAGUCUCACGCAUAUAAUCUUAAUUCAAGUACUUCAAUUUCUAAAGAUUCGGUUAACAAGACCUCCAAAUCAGGGGUGCAUCCACCUGGGUAUUUCACCUAUUACACUUGAGGGGAGACUAGUUUUAAGGGGAAGGAGAAAACCAUAAACAACCACAUCAAAAUCACUGUUGCUACCAUCAAGAAACAACAAUUUUGGAACAAAUAAAUUUUAAGGAGUUGAGUUGAAGUUAAACCAUUCAAUGCAAUCCGAUCGAGUGAGAUUUCAACUUAUAAAGCCCGUUUUUAAACUAACAAAAUCCGAUACUACCUUCCAAGCUCAGUGGUGAAGAUGUCGAGUAGAAAUCACUGCAACACAAGGUAAAUUGGUGCCAAAGGGGUGAUGAAUUGUCUCCCUUUCGGCCUCUCCUUCAGGCCCAAUUUUGUGUAAUACCGAAGGAAGAAACCCUUGAGAAAA
rnacentral:lncRNA from 1 species